UCAAAUACAUUGUCUGAUGAAAUAUAUCUAAAAAUUGAUAGUAAUUAGUAACGUUAUAUUUCUUUUUUUUGUUUACUUGAUUCAUCAAUAUAAAAUAUCAAUAAGUUAUACAUAUCAGGAGUUCUAUAGAAGACUUUUACUUCAAUAUUAAACGUUCUUUAUCGAUUUAAACUAAUACUUUUUGCUUUUCCUCAACACAUAAAACGUAAUUUAGUAAUAUUUAUGAUUAAGUUAGGUUUACAUACUUAUUAGAUUGAUCCCUAAUGUUGUGCCUCUUAUUUUUACAUAGUUUUUAUCAUUUUUCAGUUUAUUCAGUUAACAAGUGUGCCGGUUUAUUGUACCCCGAUUAGAAUUGCAUUAUCAAAAAAGGGAAUAGUAAAAAUAAAACAUGUAUAUGUAUAUGUUAUGCUAUACAUGCUAAAACAGUUGAUGCUAAAUAUGUUACUGAUUUAAUAUUAUCAUUCAAUGACGUUCAGUAUUGUUUAAACUAUAUAAUUUGCAAAAGAAACUCGUGCAAAUUAAAUUUUUCCUUUUUUUUAAAUAUAGCAAUCUCUAUAUAUUAGAUGUUCAAGAGUUUAACUUACAUUUUUGCUUUGGGUACAAACAGUAGCGAUUAAACGUAAUUUGUAGAAAACAUUUUAAUAGCUUAUGUUUGACGAAGAAAAUGAUUGCCCUUCAUAUGUUUAAACUACAUGAAAUUUAUUUUAUUAUAAAAAUAUAGCAUUGUUGUCUUCGCCGUCGUCGUCGUCGUCGUCGUUAUCGUGAUUGGCGCUUUUUGAUAAGGACAGAGGGUCGCAUUUGGGGUCGCUUUUGAUUUGAAGGACAUGCUACGCCUAUCGGUAAUAUCCUUAAAUCAAAACGGAUAAUAAAACUUUACAACGUGGAAA